AGCGGGGUGGGGUAGCCAGGAAAUCCCAUCGGGCUCAUAACCCGAAGAUCAGUCGUUCAAACCGAAGACGGGCGU
rnacentral:tRNA from 1 species